UUACGGCUAUAUCACGUUGAAACACCGGUUCUCAUACGAUCACCGAAGUUAAGCAACGUCAACAUUGGUCAUUAACAAGAUGGGUGACCCUUGGGAAUAGCAGGUGUUGUAAG